rnacentral:rRNA from 1 species
AGAGUUUGAUCAUGGCUCAGAUUGAACGCUGGCGGUAGGCUUAACACAUGCAACGGCGUGCGAGAAAGUAUCUUCGGAUAUGAGUAGAGCGGCGGACGGGGUGAGUAACGCGUAGGAAUCUACCUAGUAGAAGGGGAUAGCCCGGGGAAACCCGGGAUUAAUACCGUAUACCUCCUUCGGGAGAAAGAAGGCCUCUCUUUGAAGCUUUCGCCUAUUAGAUGAGCCUGCGUAAGAUUAGCUUGUUGGUGGAGGUAAAGGCUCACCAAGGCGACGAUCUUUAGCUGGUCUGAGAGGACGAUCAGCCACAUUGGGACUGAGACACGGCCCAGACUCCUACNCANNCAGCAGUGGGGAAUAUUGGACAAUGGGCGCAAGCCUGAUCCAGCCAUACCGCGUGUGUGAAGAAGGCCUUCGGGUUGUAAAGCACUUUAAGCAGGGAGAAAAAGUUAUAAGU